AUGCAUGGCCCCUGCGUAAGGAUCACACGCAAAAUCGUGAAGCGUUCCACAUUUUU
rnacentral:snRNA from 1 species